rnacentral:rRNA from 1 species
CCCUUAGAUGUUCUGGGCCGCACGCGCGCUACACUGAAGGGAUCAGCGUGUUUUCCCUUCUCGAGAGAGACGGGUAACCCGCUGAACCCCCUUCGUGGUAGGGAUCGGGGCUUGCAAUUAUUCCCCGUGAACCAGGAAUGCCCAGUAAGCGCAAGUCAUAAGCUUGCGUUGAUUACGUCCCUGCCCUUUGUACACACCGCCCGUCGCUACUACCGAUUGAACGUUUUAGUGAGGUGUUUGGAUUGGACCGGUUUGGAUUUGCGUCCGGACCGCUGUUCGAAAAGAUCCCCAAACUUGAGCGUUUAGAGGAAGUAAAAGUCGUAACA